GAUCUUCGACGAUAUGCACUGGUUCUUCAAGACUCCGACUCACUUCACGAAACUUGCCAAUACACAAGACUUAACAAUCUCCCCCUUUGGCAAUUUCGUGACAAAACUCACACCAACAAAAAAAAAUUACAAUUAAAGAAAACGAAGUUCAAUUGUCAUCACCAAAACAUUGAACUCCUCGCGUGUAAUCCAAAUACAUUCAAAACUCAAACUUACAUCAAAACUCCUAAAACAGACUCUAUGACUUAGACGCAACUAGGAGUCUUGAAGUCUUGAUUUCCUGCAAAAUAAUUCAUUC
rnacentral:lncRNA from 1 species